rnacentral:rRNA from 1 species
AUGCAUGUUUAUUUGUCUGUUUCAUGUGUGCAAGUGCUCCAUUGUGUGUGUCUUGACUGUGUGUCUGACUAUGUGUGUGAUGUGCCCCUAUCUAUGUAUGCUUUGUUUGUUUCAUGUGUGCAAGCACUCCAUUGUCUGUGUGUGACUGUGUUUGACUGCUUAGAUGGGGUGAUUCUGAUUGUGUUACUGCUUAUAUGGUCUGUCCAAUUGGUUUCUUCUUCAUGCUUUGCUUGUGUUCCAGUGUCGUCUCCCCAUAUAUGGGGAUGUGUUGAGGGAUGCAAACCAUGUAGGCCGUUUCGACCAGGCAGGGAUCCAGAGACACUGGUCAGGCUUCUCUCCUGCUGA